rnacentral:rRNA from 1 species
UACAGAGGUCCCAAGCGUUGUUCGGAUUCACUGGGCGUAAAGGGUGCGUAGGCGGUCGGGUAAGUUUGAUGUGAAAUCUCCGGGCUUAACCCGGAAACUGCAUUGAAUACUAUUCGGCUUGAGGUCUGGAGGGGGGACUGGAAUUCUCGGUGUAGCAGUGAAAUGCGUAGAGAUGUGGAGGAACACCGAUGGCGAAGGCAGCCCCCUGGGUUAACACUGACGCUCAGGCACGAAAGCGUGGGGAGCAAACAGG